ensembl:lncRNA
ACAAACACACACACAGCAUCCUAAUUUAUCUCUGAUAAAAGCCAGUUUCGUUAUGGUGAGAUUAAUUCAUUAAAAAAACGAAUGCUUUAGAUGUAAAAUUUGUAUGAAUAUAAAUAACAAGGGUGAAAUUCUUUGUUGCAUGGGUGAGUUUUGGUCAAAACUGACAGCACAAGAGGCAAAAUCAACGCAAUCUCUAAAGAAAAUGCCAUACCUGACCAUUACUGUAAUUUGAAUGCAGAUGAAAAUAGAAAAUAUUGGCAAUAUUUCUAGUUGGAAGGGAUACGAUUGAAAAUAGUAUGAGUGGCUACAAAUAAUUGUCCUCUCUUUACCAGUAUAGGCUGACCGUGUAUGUGUGAUACGUAAUGAGGAUAGUCCAUGUUUACCACAAUAUGGAAGGCUGGUGAUUUAGAUAAGCCUACUCAUGAUCUAGCUCUAAUAUGAAUUCUAACGUGUCAGACAGAAAUAUGCAUUACGCAUUCGAUAAUUGAUUGACGGACCACAUUAAGAUUAGAAUGGUUUUGUCUUUCGGAAAUAUAGAUUCGAAGUAUAGGCCUAUAUGAUUUUUUUAUAUUUGCUAAAUGUCAACAGUUUCUUCUCUUUCAUCACAUUCCUCCAUCUUAGGUAUAUGAUACUGGAAUACAUUUGACAUUUUAGUCAUUUAGCAGAGCCUUGCUCAAGGGGCGGCAGGGUAGCCUAGUGGUUAGAGUGUUGUUCUAGCACCCGGAAAGUUGCAAGUCAAACCCCCGAGGUGACAAAUUACAAAUCUGUCGUUCUGCCCCUAAACGGGUAGUUAACCCACUGUUCCUAGGCCGUCAUUGAAAAUAAGAAUUUGUUCUUAACUCACUUGCCUAGUUAAAUAAAGGUUAAGAAAAAGGGGCACAUCGCCAGAAUUUGCGGCUCGAGGAUUCGAACCAGCGACUUUUCGUUAGGCCCAACGCUACUGGCCCAACGCUCUUAUUGGCUACAAGUAUUCAAUGGCUAUCCAUUUUGACAGCUAUCCUUGGCAAUUCAAAUGACAAAUAGGUAGCCUAAUUGCUUUUGUCUCAAAAAAAUGUCUAAAUUCAAAUAGCUCUCAUUUUUCUAAAUGUUGCUAUAGACCUUGUUCGGCCUGUAGCUCAAGACUAAGUUGUAAAUAUGUAUUAUUAGUGUGAUUGGAAAUUGGAACCGCACUUUAUGCUUAUCUAGGUCACAUAUAGCUGCCAUUCCUCAUUGUACAUAUUGAUCCAAGUGCGUCACACUAUUCAAUUAUAGCCUACAAAUUCGCAAAAUGUGGUUAGGUUUUAAAGUGGCAAAAGCAAUACUUAAUGUGCAAUAAUCCUAGAACGUUGUAGCCUAUGCAUGCAACCCCAUGUGUGUUUGUCAAGACAAAUUACUUGUAGAUCCAUGACAGCAUGCAGCCUCUUCGGAGGGAAACAAUUUUUACGUGUGCCCGUCUGACCACUUCUAUUGGGUGACACAUCAGACGAGCAGUUUGGGAGCAAGGUUCACUUGUGGAGGAGGCUGAGUUACACGAGUAGGGAGUACAGCAUCUCCAACCGGCUCGCACAAUCAAUUGCGCUGGAAAAUUGGCGUCGACUUGAUUGAGAGCGCGUGCAUAGCCUGCCAGGAAGAUUUGAAUGGUGAUGUAAAAUAUAAGGGGUUGGAGAAAUAUGGCCCUGAUUCCCCUGCUUAGGAGAGAGGCCAAGUGGACAUGUCUGUCUGGGACUUUGCCUACUGCUGAACCAACAUGAGCUCAGGUGAGAGAGGAGUCAUCGGGAGCCAGACAGAGAGUACCAGGAUAACGGCUGUGUCCAUGUGUUAAGGAUGACCCACAGAUCACAGAGGAGAAAAACACCUGAGUCAAUCAGGAGAGACCCAGAAGGAGAGACCCAGAAGGAGAGACCCAGAAGGAGAGACCCAGAAGGAGAGACCCAGAAGGAGAGACCCAGAAGGAGAGACCCAGAAGGAGAGACCCAGAAGGAGAGACCCAGAAGGAGAGACCCAGAAGGAGAGACCCAGAAGGAGAGACCCAGAAGGAGAGAUCCAGAACAUAUUCAGUAACAUAUCAUCACAGACAUUCUGUGAAAUCCAGUAUCCAGUAUGAAUCGUCACCAUGUGUAUUUGGGGCAAUUCAGGUUAUUUUAAUUUAGUGAUACCAAUUUGUGCCUAAAUCGCAUGCUGCCUCUUUAUCAUGUAGAUAUAUUAUUAAAUAGAUUUUUUCCAACAUUUCUUGAUGAUCUUUAUUUAUUAUAUUUUUUUAAUGAUCAUUUAUUUUGUGUACCUGUUUGACAUUUUAUUGCAUUGAUAGGAGCUAGUAACAUAAGGAUUUCACUGCACCCUGCUGUAUGCAACCAAUCAACUUUGAUUUGGGCUGCAGGUAGCCUAGUGGUUAAGAGCAUUGGGCCAAUACCUGAAAGAUUGCUGGUUUGAAUCCCAGAGACGACUAGGUGAAACCCUAAUUGCUUAUGUAAGUCGCUCUGGGUAAGAGUGUCUGCUAAAUGACUCAAAUGUAUUAAAAAAAAGAUUUGAUUUGAAGUGAAGUGAUGCAUAUUUAUCCUGAUGGUCUAUUUUGAGCAAAUAAACCAAGACUGAGACCAUGCCAACUGAAUAGCUGAAUGUUGUGCUGUUGGUCGCUCUGACCUGAU